rnacentral:rRNA from 1 species
GACGACGCUGGCGGCGUGCUUAACACAUGCAAGUCGAACGGAGUUUAAAUCAGUAGUUUACUACAGAUUUAAACUUAGUGGCGGACGGGUGAGUAACACGUGGGCAACCUGCCCUAAAGAGGGGGAUAACACCGAGAAAUCGGUGCUAAUACCGCAUGACAUUAGAGCUUCGCAUGGAGCUUUAAUCAAAGGAGCAAUCCGCUUUAGGAUGGGCCCGCGUCUGAUUAGCUAGUUGGUGAGGUAGAGGCUCACCAAGGCGACGAUCAGUAGCCGAUCUGAGAGGAUGACCGGCCACACUGGAACUGAGACACGGUCCAGACUCCUACGGGAGGCAGCAGUGGGGAAUAUUGCACAAUGGGGGAAACCCUGAUGCAGCAACGCCGCGUGGGAGGAAGAAGGUUUUCGGAUUGUAAACUCCUGUCUUUUGGGACGAUAAUGACGGUACCAAAAGAGGAAGCCACGGCUAACUACGUG